rnacentral:lncRNA from 1 species
AACAAUGAAUAAAAUGGGUCUAGGAGGGCAAGGGGGAUUUGAACCCCAUACCUCUUGCACACACAAAGCCUUAACAUGCACGCUCUAACCUCUAGGGCGGUAAUACAUCUAUUAAAUAAAACACAAAAAAUUAAUUAUAUAAUAAAAAAAAUCAGAAAUUUAAAAAUGCACCAUCUUCUUCAACCUCACGACCUUGUUUUUGUUUCUUUUCAUUUUUUUUCUCAAACUUCCAACAACG